CGAGCAUGAUGAUGAUAAUUUGUAAAUCGUCCGAUUCAUUUGAUGACGGAAGAAACACCUCCUACUCAUACUGA